AUUGAACGCUGGCGACAUGCCUUACACAUGCAAGUCGAACGGCAGCACGGGUGCUUGCACCUGGUGGCGAGUGGCGAACGGGUGAGUAAUACAUCGGAACAUGUCCUGUAGUGGGGGAUAGCCCGGCGAAAGCCGGAUUAAUACCGCAUACGAUCUACGGAUGAAAGCGGGGGACCUUCGGGCCUCGCGCUAUAGGGUUGGCCGAUGGCUGAUUAGCUAGUUGGUGGGGUAAAGGCCUACCAAGGCGACGAUCAGUAGCUGGUCUGAGAGGACGACCAGUCACACUGGGACUGAGACACGGCCCAGACUCCCACGGGAGGCAGCAGUGGGGAAUUUUGGACAAUGGGCGAAAGCCUGAUCCAGCAAUGCCGCGUGUGUGAAGAAGGCCUUCGGGUUGUAAAGCACUUUUGUCCGGAAAGAAAUCCUUGGCCCUAAUACGGUCGGGGGAUGACGGUACCGGAAGAAUAAGCACCGGCUAACUACGUG
rnacentral:rRNA from 1 species